rnacentral:lncRNA from 1 species
CCACCAAUUUCCAAAUCACAUCCAAAAUCUGCUAUUUUCUUUUUAAGGUAAUCAAAUUCUAACACAUUCCACCUUCAUAACAAUAUUAGAUUUCCAAAAUAAAUUAAAUACUAACAUAAAAUAAUAUGACUUCAAAUUUAUCUCUAUAUGUUAGUUGUUUAGCCCUUGAUUACAUUCCUCUUGAACUAGACUUUAUGCAG